rnacentral:rRNA from 1 species
UACACACUGCCCGUCACGCCAUGGGAGUUGGUUCUGCCUUAAGGCGGUGUCCUGACCAGUAAUGGGGGGAGCCGACUACGGUAGGGUCGAUGACUGGGGUG